AAGUCGUAACAAGGUUUCCGUAGGUGAACCUGCGGAAGGAUCAUUACAGAGAACAUGCCCUUUAGGGUAUAUCUCCCACCCUUUGUCUACAAUACCUUUGUUGCUUUGGCAGGCCUGUCUCACGACUACUGGCUUUAGCUGGUCCGUGCCUGCCAGAGGACCCCAACACUCUUUUAUUAUGUCGUCUGAGUACUAUAAAAAUAGUUAAAACUUUCAACAACGGAUCUCUUGGUUCUG
rnacentral:misc_RNA from 1 species